rnacentral:rRNA from 1 species
CGUGAGCAAUCUGCCUUUCAGAGGGGGAUACCGAUUGGAAACGAUCGUUAAUACCGCAUAACAUAAUUGAACCGCAUGAUUUGAUUAUCAAAGAUUUAUCGCUGAAAGAUGAGCUCGCGUCUGAUUAGCUAGUUGGUAAGGUAACGGCUUACCAAGGCGACGAUCAGUAGCCGGACUGAGAGGUUGAUCGGCCACAUUGGGACUGAGACACGGCCCAG